CCUCUCUCUGGCUGUGAUUGGCUGUUAGGGCUGUCCUUCAUGCCACACAGCCAGUACAUCCUCUUUUCUGCAGUCUCCUUGACAGUUGGGUUCCUGUCCAUUUCAACUGAAUGCGGACAGUUGAAUUAUAUGUAAUUUCUGCCUGAUGUGGCCAAUCUAACACCCACUGAACUCAGCAGGAAGAUGGCUAUAGUCUUGAAUGAGAAAUAACAUUAUGGACACUUUCUAGUGGCUACAUUCCAGAGGGCAGAGCUCAUGGCAUUUCUGUGUGGUAAUGAUGGUGAUUGGUGAAAGGCAGCGUGCCGCUUACAGGCUAUGUAUAUUAACAAGGACAGGAGCAUGAAUGCCCAUCAGAUCACUAAGCCGUCUUCUUGGGGCUAUCAUUAAAAAUUGUGACAUUCAUGUGCUACAUACUGGGUUGGAUCUGUCAUCCGGAAGAAGGAAGAGUGCACAAGGGUACCUUUCUGCCUCUCAGCAGCCCCACAGCAACUAUUUCUGCCCCUCAAAAAGCCUCUUCUAAGAUUCAGGAAAAUCUCAAGAAAAGGGUGGAACAAAGUAGGCUGCAGGGCAAGGACAGGAUUAUUUCAAAUCAGACAGCAGCACCUGCACAAGUACUUGAGCAAGAUACCUCUGCCUGGUUUGGGGUGAUUGCCCCUCCUCUGUACCCCACCCAGGGUCCCCUAACUUUCAGGUGAGGUUUUGUGGGGUGCAGGAAGCUGCUGUGGGAAGGAGGAGAUGUUGACGUUAUCAUAUGGGAAUUUUGUUCUGAAUGUGGUGCUUAGGAUCUGGCCCUGUGUAUUGAUGCUGUCACUUUUCUACUACUAUGGAUUACCUUAGGAAGCAUCUUCCCUUCCUCCAUGAGGAUGACUGAAGGUCUUUGUAGUUUUCUCCAAAUACAAAUCCAGUGUACUAGCAGAGCAGAGCAGAAACCAGACUAUGUUCUCCUAGCUGUAAUGUCUGCCGUGGGAACUCUAACGAUCUUUUCCCCAUCUUUUCCUUGGAUAGUUGGGAAAUUACAUUCAAAGAGCAAGUAAUGUGAGUGACAAACACUGGUUUCUAUCCUCGAUAUCACUGGUGACCAGCAAUAUCUCUACCCAUCAUCUUCAACAACUGAAGACUUUUAAAGGCCUUGAAGGUUUACCUUGAUUCCUGGUUGCUAGAGGCAGAGUGCUCCCGCUGUACCAGUCCAGCAAGAACGUGCCUGUUGCCUUCUUGUUAACUGAUAUCAGGCCCUUUGAUUUAAAUAAAGUAAAAUGGACAUUCUGCUGAGAAAAGCAGUAUUGAGAAACAAUUUCAGAAAGGAAGUCCUUAUGUGCUCCUUUUCCUUUUCUUGUCUGUUGGUUUGUUUGUUUUAUUUGUGCUUUCCUUUUUGUGUU